GACGAACGCUGGCGGCGCGCUUAACACAUGCAAGUCGAGCGAGAACCAGGGCUUCGGCCCUGGGGACAGCGGCGAACGGGUGAGUAACACGUGGGUCAUCUGCCCUCGGCACCGGAAUAGCCCGGGGAAACCCGGAUUAAUGCCGGAUGGCCCGCCCGCUCUACGGGAGGCAGCAGUGGGGAAUAUUGGGCAAUGGAGGAAACUCUGACCCAGCGACGCCGCGUGAGGGAUGAAGGCCUUCGGGUUGUAAACCUCUUUCAGUAGGGAAGAAGCGAAAGUGACGGUACCUACAGAAGAAGCACCGGCUAACUAUGUG
rnacentral:rRNA from 1 species